rnacentral:rRNA from 1 species
UACGUAGGGUGCAAGCGUUGUCCGGAAUUAUUGGGCGUAAAGAGCUCGUAGGCGGCUUGUCGCGUCGGCUGUGAAAACCUAGGGCUCAACCCUGGGCCUGCAGCCGAUACGGGCAAGCUAGAAUUCGGUAGGGGAGACUGGAAUUCCUGGUGUAGCGGUGAAAUGCGUAGAUAUCAGGAGGAACACCUGUGGCGAAAGCGGCUCACUGGACCACAACUGACGCUGAUGCACGAAAGCUAGGGGAGCAAACGGG